rnacentral:rRNA from 1 species
GAUGAACGCUGGCGGCGUGCCUAACACAUGCAAGUCGAGCGAAGCACCUUACUUGAUUUCUUCGGGAUGAAAGUAUUGUGACUGAGCGGGCGACGGGUGAAGGUACGCGUGGAGUAACCUGCCUCAUACAGGGGGAUAACAGUUAGAAAUGACUGCUAAUACCGCAUAAGACCACAGCACCGCAUGGUGCAGGGGUAAAAACUCCGGUGGUAUGAGAUGGAUCCGCGUCUGAUUAGCUAGUUGGUAAGGUAACGGCUUACCAAGGCAACGAUCAGUAGCCGACCUGAGAGGGUGACCGGCCACAUUGGGACUGAGACACGGCCCAA